UACGUAGGGUGCGAGCGUUAAUCGGAUUCAUUGGGCGUAAAGGGUGCGUAGGCGGCGCGGUAAGUCGGGUGUGAAAUCUCGGAGCUUAACUCCGAAACUGCAUUCGAUACUGCCGUGCUUGAGGACUGGAGAGGAGACUGGAAUUUACGGUGUAGCGGUGAAAUGCGUAGAUAUCGUAAGGAAGACCAGUGGCGAAGGCGGGUCUCUGGACAGUUCCUGACGCUGAGGCACGAAGGCCAGGGGAGCAAACGGG
rnacentral:rRNA from 1 species